rnacentral:rRNA from 1 species
UACGUAGGUGACAAGCGUUGUCCGGAUUUACUGGGCGUAAAGAGCGCGCAGGCGGUCGUUCAAGUCGAGUGUGAAAGCCCCCGGCUCAACUGGGGAGGGUCAUUCGAUACUGAUCGACUCGAAGGCAGGAGAGGGUAGUGGAAUUCCCGGUGUAGUGGUGAAAUGCGUAGAUAUCAGGAGGAACACCGGUGGCGAAGGCGGAUCUCUGGGCCUUACCUGACGCUGAGGCGCGAAAGCUAGGGGAGCGAACAGG